AUCCUUCUGCGCGCCGCCACUGCAAAUCCCCCUCAGGAUCUCCCCUCACCCAACCAGCCAUUUCCUUUGAUCCAUCCUCGUGCCCGCUUCCAGAUCGAGCACGAGGCUCGAUCCCGAGCGCAGUCACCUGCCCAAACUCCGAGACCCCGCCGCCUCGAUCGAGAGCCUCCUCCUCCCUCUUCGAUCCAGAGGAGUGGAGCUCCGCCGCUGCUCCCCUUCCCUCCAUCUCUCCCUGCUACUCCCUCUUCUCACAUCUCUCCCUUUCUCUUUGUGUCUUGCAGGUUGCCAUGGAUGCCCGAACGCCUCCAGGACCCCGUCUGCCCCGCCCCGCCCCGAUCCGGCCACCAGGACCCUCCAGCGCCGCUGCCUCCGUCAUGGAUGUCAGGCCCUAAGGUCCCCGCGCCCGUCCUCAUGGCUCCCCGCAUCCUCUUCGUCGCUUCAGAGCUUCCUCGCGACGGACUCGCCUCCCGCGCCUAUCCUGGACAGGAUCCGCACUGCCGGAGGCUCUGUAGCAGCCGCACAGGACGGCGUCGACCUUCGCUGCUCGCCUUCCUCCAUGCCUCCUCGCCGUCUCCUCCACCUUCCUCCUAUGCCUGCACCUGCAAGCUGCCUAGUCCAACGCCGUGGCACUGCCCUCACCUCGUCCCCUGAACCGCAAGCAGCCGUCGCCCGCCUCCUCUGCAUCGAGCUCGUGCACUCAUCCGCGUCACCUCGGUCCCGCGACGACCCUCCUCUGCGUCUAGCGCCAAGUCCAACUGCUCCCCUGAUCCGGUCGCGCCGCCUUGGAUCCGGCAGGUUUCCCAUCGCCGCGCCAAGUCCCGCUUCGCCGUGUCGUUCUCUUCUUCCCCUGCAACAAGCCGCAGCUCCUCGCUCGUCGUCCUGUUGACCGCGCCCCCUCCAGCUCCUCGUUUGGCUAAGCAGAGGCCCAGCCACGCCAGAUCCACCGGCCUGCUAUUUCCACCGCCUUGGGCCAAGGCCCACUGGUUUGCAGGUGCCGAUGUUACCGAGCAAGUGACGCAACCAAGCUCAAGGAGGAGCUCGAUGAAGAUCUUGUCCUUUGUCUUGUUUCGUUUUCAGUUGAUCAGUAGUGGAGCCCAGUUGGCGUCGAUCUGGGGACCUUGUCACAUUUGGGGUUGUUCUUUAUUUUGGUUCCGUAGUCGGACCUUGAUUUUAUUUGGAUGUUGUAAUGCUUUA